AAGUCGUAACAAGGUUUCCGUAGGUGAACCUGCGGAAGGAUCAUUACUGAAGAUAGUCUUCAACACCGUGAACUGUAGCUUCGGCUUACACAUACUCUUGUCGUCGUGAAUGUCGUAUACCAUACAAACAUAACUUUCAACAACGGAUCUCUUGGCUCUC
rnacentral:misc_RNA from 1 species